ensembl:lncRNA
GCUUGGCAUUGCUGGGGCUUGAACCACCGACCUUCCCAUCAGUAACCCAGAGCCUUAACCGCUAUGCCACCAAUGCCACAUCGAUAAUAAACUUUGAGCACAGCUUGACAGUGUUUGCUGAGCGCAACAUUGUCCACUGCUUGCGGUGCAAGAAGCCGCAGAAGCAUCUCGCUGGCCACCUGCUAGAGUGUGUAUGAAAGACAGCACAGCAGAAGAAAGGCAAGCUGAGAUCCAGAAGGCCAAGGUAUCUUCCAGACGGUGGGUCUGCAGGAACAGGACCUGGGACUACCGCCAGCUUUGUUCUAUCCUGCCCCACAGUCCGUGUGCUUCUUUACUGGUGGAAGAGUUUCAGAGGCGUGGGUUCUUUAUCACCAACAUGCCACAAGAGUCAGACAUGGCUAUGGACUCCGGUGAUGCCGCCUCCUCACAACAGGGUUCGCCUUCUGAUCAGAGAUAUGAUGAGUGUUCGCACACUGACACAGUACCAGGCCAUUUUGGAGGUAGCCAGGAUCGACUUCCUGAUAAUCUUUCGGAAGCUGGUCUCAAGCACAGAGGUCCUCUCGACAGAGGAGACCGGCUAUCGCCGCUACUGCACGGCACUUUUGGUGUCGCGUCACUUUCAGUGCCCGGCAGCUGCGCAAGGCCUGACCAGCGGGUCAACAGGAAGGAAGUUGACGACAGUGUGGUGAUUGGCUUCGGCUGAGACGGAACGAUGCAGCAGGCUGCCUGUUUUGCCUUUUAACUUUCCCCAACUUUCUUGUUAUUUUAGUAACGAGGGGAGAAGUUGUUAUUGCUUAAAUGAUGGUUUUGCUAUUUGUAAUUUACCUUACAACCUAAAAGAAAAAAUAAAAACAAAACACUGCUUGUAAACCUGUUGAUUUCGUCCUUGUCAUCUGAUGCAUAUUGUUUUGCUC